rnacentral:rRNA from 1 species
UACGUAGGGGGCGAGCGUUGUCCGGAAUUACUGGGCGUAAAGAGAGCGUAGGCGGCACUACAAGUCUCAUGUGAAAUACCCGGGCUUAACUUGGGGGUUGCAUGGGAAACUGUAGAGCUUGAGUACAGGAGAGGCAAGCGGAAUUCCUAGUGUAGCGGUGAAAUGCAUAGAUAUUAGGAGGAACACCAGUGGCGAAGGCGGCUUCCUGGUCUGCAACUGACACUGAGGCGCGAAAGCGUGGGGAGCAAACAGG